CAGCUCACACAGCACGCGCUCUUAAAGCAGGAAGCCAAGUCGACAGCCCUUCAAAAUAAAAGUCCUGUUACAACAACAACAACAACAAAGAGAGUAAAUUACUUAUAAAUUUAGAUGUGCAUGUUAAAGCAACAAAUUCCGUGUAAAUGAGCCAGGUGUAUCUUGUUAAUGCCGAUAAAUAUAAUUAACUUGCUGAGGUAAUUAAUUAGGACUAAUGACUAUUUCAUAUAGGCCUAAUUAAAACAGACCACUGCUGGAUUUACCAUAUCACAACCAAAAACUAAAAAUGGCAUCAGUGACAGAAAACACUGAAGAUACAAACACCCAGUUAAAAGAUCUUCCUGCAAAUCAGUGCCCUUCUGUGAGACAUCUGGAGGCUCUUGAUGGCAAGAUCUCUGACAGACAGGAGCAGCUCCAGCUCUGCACUAUGAUCCUAAACGACCUGCUGGAAAUUCAGAAAAUAGUUGCUGAAAGAGGACUUGAAAAUGCAUCACUUCGAGGACUGGAUGACUGAGUUGUUUCCUUUCAGUAUUUGAGACCCUACAAGUGUAUAUAAAAAUAACAUCUUGAUGUGAAAGUGUUGGGAUGGAGCGCUUUCUUUCUGAAACGUGUAACUUUGUGAAAUAAUGUAACCACUCAAGACAGGAUCUUACUGGUAUUGUAUUGCUUUUUGAUUCAAAAAGUUAUUACUUUGCCAUAAUACUUUAUACAAAACAAGCAUAUGAGAAAAAAUUUCACAUUAUACAUUCUUUAAAAAUACAGAUCUUUACAGUUUCCUCACACUUUGGGUAUCAAAAGCAAUUCUUAUGGAAGCAUUUGUUUCCUCUUUACCUCAAGCUUCUGACUCAACUAACAUGCCAGACCAACUUUUCCUCUUGACUAGUGUCCUUGAUGCUGCCUGAACCAGAAGAAAAUCAGAAUAAAUACCAAUGGAAAAAAGCAACGGUUCAAUAAGCUAGUUUGUUGACCAAAUCAUAAGCUAAUGCCUUUUGAAAGACCCAUGAGUGAAUGAAAACGUAAAAAAGAUGAUGAUGGCAGCACUUGGAAAAAGUGGAAUGAUUAUAAACAGCAUUGCGGGUUUACAUGAACAAGAGCUGAUCUCGAGCAAGAAUAAAAUCAGGACUUGAUGGACAAACAAAUCGUUCUUUCACCAGUAUUUUUCCAACAUAAAAACAAAUGCAAGAUUUUCAUGUCAUGUGGGGGCGAAUAUGGUUCAAUAAGCUAGUUUGUUGACCAAAUCAUAAGCUAAUGCCUUUUGAAAGACCCAUGAGUGAAUGAAAACGUAAAAAAAGAUGAUGAUGGCAGCACUUGGAAAAAGUGGAAUGAUUAUAAACAGCAUUGCGGGUUUACAUGAACAAGAGCUGAUCUCGAGCAAGAAUAAAAUCAGGACUUGAUGGACAAACAAAUCGUUCUUUCACCAGUAUUUUUCCAACAUAAAAACAAAUGCAAGAUUUUCAUGUCAUGUGGGGGCGAAUAAGAACAAAAAGUUACAUUGAAGCAGCAAUAAUUUUCAUUAGGAAAAAAAUAUACAUAUAUAUAUAUAUAACAUUGCAAUGCCCAGAUACAAAGUCACAUCAAACAUAACUGUACACAACACAAACAUUUUGAUAGGCGAGACGUAAGGAAAAAAACAAAGGCUUUUAAACAUGAAAUACUCAACAGGACACGGCUGUUUCUCUACAUCACCACUGAAUGCUCACACAUGAUAUUUUACUUAUGAACAUGUACAGAUGGCGUGGUUUGGUUUUUUCUAUAUGCUCCAUGACAUUGCAUAGUUACCCAUUUUUGUUAGGUGAUGAAUAAUAACUGGCUUCGAUCAAAAUGAAUCUUUCAUGUACUUUAGUAAAUUGUCAAAACUAGAGUCCUACGCGAAAAUGUGAACAAACAAUAAGGUCAGAAAGCAUGUGCAUUAUUAUUAUUCCGGUACAGUUGCUCAUCAUAUUGGCUGGACCCCAAAGUAAGUGCAUUUAUUAGCGAAAAACAGCGUUGUUCAAACAGAUUGCACUUAGUACUAGGUUUGCACAGGUCCCAUUAAUAGAUAUUUAAAAAGAAUAUGUAGUGGAUAAAUAAAGCUACUGAUUGAGUGACGUACACAGAUUCGACCAGCGUAAUGUAGCUUCACUGUCAGUUCACGGUUUAAUUUGGCACUGGAUAGGAAAAGGCUCGCUCAGUAAUAUCUAUCCGAUUCAAACUCUCCAUGUCUACUCCAUGCUGAAAUAAAAUAACUAUCAUGAGUUGUAAGGCAAUUCUUGUCCAACUUGAGUCUGAAACACAAGGAUCUGCGGAAUACUACAUACUGCAUACGAGACGCACAGGUGACAGUAAAGGCAGUGCAGAGUCACGUCUCUCAUCUCAUCUCACACCCAAAGUCUGAUUUCUCAUAGUUCUAUACAAAAAUACAAAUACAAUCUAAAGGCUUAAACAUUUAUCAUUUCAAAUGUACUAUGUAUUUACAUGACGGUCAUCUCUUUAGAACCGC
ensembl:lncRNA